rnacentral:rRNA from 1 species
AUACGGAGGGGGCAAGCGUUGUUCGGAAUUACUGGGCGUAAAGGGUGUGUAGGCGGCCAGAUAAGCUAGAGGUGAAAUCCCGGGGCUCAACCCCGGAACUGCUUCUAGAACUGUUUGGCUAGAGAUAGGCAGAGGCAGGUGGAAUUCCAGGUGUAGAGGUGAAAUUCGUAGAUAUCUGGAGGAACACCGGUGGCGAAGGCGGCCUGCUGGGCCUUAUCUGACGCUAAGGCACGAAAGCGUGGGGAGCAAACAGGAUUAGAAACCCUAGUAGUCC